rnacentral:rRNA from 1 species
AGCUGUCAUACGGUGAAACUGCGAAUGGCUCAUUAAAACAGUUAUAGUUUACUUGAGGAUUGAGGCUUACAUGGAUAACCGUGGCAACUCUAGAGCUAAUACAUGCAAAUGGGACUUCUGUUCCGUAUUUAUUAGAUAUAUCCGCCUUAUGGUUGGUGAGUCAUAGUAACUUAACGAAUCGCGUAUUGCGAUGCAUCAUUUAAGUUUCUGCCCUAUCAGCUUACGAUGGUAGCGUAUUGGACUACCAUGGCAGUUACGGGUAACGAGGAAUUAGGGUUCGAUUUCGGAGAGGGAGCCUGAGAAACGGCUACCACAUCUAAGGAAGGCAGCAGGCGCGCAAAUUACCCAAUGCUGACACGGCGAGGUAGUGACAAGAAAUAACAACGCGAGGCUAUGUCUUGCGAUUGGAAUGAACGCAAUUUAAACUCAUCAGUGAGGAGCAACUGGAGGGCAAGUCUGGUGCCAGCAGCCGCGGUAAUACCAGCUCCAGUAGCGUAUAUUAAAGUUGUUGCAGUUGAAACGCUCGUAGUCGGACUUCUUUUCCACCCUUGUGGAAAAUCUGCUGAUCAUCUUGCUGAUCAUCACGAUCGGUAAGUCAAUGACAGCAUGUCACCUUGAGGAAAUUAAAGUGUUCAAGGCAGGCUUAGCCUGAAUACUGUAGCAUGGAAUGGCACCAUUGUGCAAACAAGAGGUGCGGGUGCUCUUGUGAGGCAAAGGUCGAUAGGGGCAGUCGUGGGCAUUGGUACUGGGGCGUGAGAGGUGAAAUUCUUGGAUCGUCUCAAGACCAACGAAAGCGAAAGCAUCCGCCAAGGAUGUCUUCAUUGAUCAAGAACGAAGGUCAGGGUAUCGAAUACGAUCAGAUACCGUAGUAGUCCUGACUGUAAACUAUGCCGACUGGGGAUUCGUGGCGCAGCUUAUGACACCACGGGCACCCUGCGAGAAAUCAAAGUCUUUGGGUUCUGGGGGAAGUAUGGUCGCAAGGCUGAAACUUGAAGGAAUUGACGGAAGGGCACCACCAGGCGUGGAGCUUGCGGCUUAAUUUGACUCAACACGGGGAAACUUACCAGGUCCAGACAUGGCGAGGAUUGACAGACUGAACGCUCUCUCUCGAUUCUAUGGUUGGUGGUGCAUGGCCGUUCUUAGUUGGUGGAGUGAUCUGUCUGGUUGAUUCCGGUAACGAACGAGACCUCGGCCUGCUAACUAGUGCUAUUACUGAGGUGGUAGUGACUUCUUAGAGGGACUCCAACGGCUACGUUGUGGAAGUUCGAGGCAAUAACAGGUCUGUGAUGCCCUUAGAUGUCCUGGGCCGCACGCGUGCUACACUGACACAGGCAACGAGGUCCGUAGUCGAGAGACCCAGGAAAUCUCUAAUCUGUGUCGUGAUGGGGACAGUCCCUUGCAAUUGUGGGACUCCAACGAGGAAUGCCUAGUAAGUGCAUGUCAUCAGCAUGCACUGAUUACGUCCCUGCCCUUUGUACACACCGCCCGUCGCUCCUACCGAUUUCGAGUGGUCCGGUGAAUCUUUCGGACUGCGCGCGGCUUCGUGCCGUGUCGCGGAAAGUCAGGUAAACCUUAUCACUAGAGGA